rnacentral:rRNA from 1 species
AGAAUUUGAUCUUGGUUCAGGAUGAACGCUGGCGGCACGCCUAACACAUGCAAGUCGAACGGAGUUUAUGGGAGCUUGCUCCUAUAAACUUAGUGGCGGACGGGUGAGUAACACGUGAGCAACCUGCCUUUCAGAGAGGGAUAGCUUCUGGAAACGGAUGGUAAUACCUCAUAACAUAUGAAUUUGGCAUCUUAUUCAUAUCAAAGAUUUAUCGCUGAAAGAUGGGCUCGCGUCUGAUUAGCUUGUUGGUGAGGUAACGGCCCACCAAGGCAACGAUCAGUAGCCGGACUGAGAGGUUGAACGGCCACAUUGGGACUGAGACACGGCCCAGACUCCUACGGGAGGCAGCAGUGGGGAAUAUUGCACAAUGGGCGCAAGCCUGAUGCAGCGAUGCCGCGUGAGGGAAGAAGGUUUUCGGAUUGUAAACCUCUGUCAUCGGGGACGAAAAUGACGGUACCCGAGAAGGAAGCUCCGGCUAACUACGUGCCAGCAGCCGC